rnacentral:rRNA from 1 species
UACGGAGGGUGCAGGCGUUAUCCGGAUUUAUUAGGUUUAAAGGGUGCGCAGGCGGGACAUUAAGUCGGCGGUGAAAUACCGUAGCCCAACUACGGGGCUGCCGUCGAUACUGAUGACCUUGAGUUAUGGUGAGGUAACCGGAAUGUGGAGUGUAGCGGUGAAAUGCAUAGAUAUUCCACAGAACACCAAUUGCGAAGGCAGGUUACCAACUGUACACUGACGCUCAUGCACGAAAGCGCGGGUAG